rnacentral:rRNA from 1 species
UACGUAGGUGACAAGCGUUGUCCGGAUUUACUGGGCGUAAAGAGCGCGCAGGCGGUCGACCAAGUCGCGUGUGAAAGCCCCCGGCUCAACUGGGGAGGGUCACGCGAUACUGAUCGACUCGAAGGCAGGAGAGGGUAGUGGAAUUCCCGGUGUAGUGGUGAAAUGCGCAGAUAUCAGGAGGAACACCGGUGGCGAAGGCGGGUCUCUGGGCCGUAACUGACGCUGAGGAGCGAAAGCAUGGGGAGCGAACAGG